rnacentral:rRNA from 1 species
GACGAACGCUGGCGGCGUGCUUAACACAUGCAAGUCGAACGGAAAGUCCCUGCUUUUGUGGGGUGCUCGAGUGGCGAACGGGUGAGUAACACGUGAGUAACCUGCCCUUGACUUUGGGGUAACUUCAGGAAACUGGGUCUAAUACCGGAUAGGAUCUCCUGCUUCAUGGUGGGGGUUGGUAAGUUUAGGCGGUUGGGGGUGGACUCGCGUCUUAUCGGCUUGUUGGUUGGGUAGUGGCUUACCAAGGCUUUGACGGGUAGCCGGCCUGAGAGGGUGACCGGAGACAUUGGGACUGAGCUACGGCCCAGACUCCUAUGCUAGGCAGCAGUGGGGAAUAUUGCACAAUGGGAGGAGGCAUGAUGCAGCAAAGCAGCGUGCGGGAUGACGGCAUUCGGGUUGUAAACCGAUUUCGCCUGUGACGAAGCGUGAGUGACGGUAAUGGGUAAAGAAGCACCGGCUAACUACGUG